AGGACGAACGCUGGCGGCGUGCUUAACACAUGCAAGUCGAGCGGAAAGGCCCUUCGGGGUACUCGAGCGGCGAACGGGUGAGUAACACGUGAGCAACCUGCCCCUGGCUCUGGGAUAGCCUCCGGAAACGGGGAUUAAUACCGGACAUUCACUUCCUUCCGCAUGGUUGGUGGUGGAAAGUUUUUUCGGCCGGGGAGGGGCUCGCGGCCUAUCGAGCUUGUUGGCGGGGUAACGGCCCACCAAGGCGACGACGGGUAGCC
rnacentral:rRNA from 1 species